GUGCCAGCCGCCGCGGUAAUACGUAGGUGGCAAGCGUUGUCCGGAUUUAUUGGGCGUAAAGCGAGCGCAGGCGGUUUCUUAAGUCUGAUGUGAAAGCCUUCGGCUCAACCGAAGAAGUGCAUCGGAAACUGGGAAACUUGAGUGCAGAAGAGGACAGUGGAACUCCAUGUGUAGCGGUGAAAUGCGUAGAUAUAUGGAAGAACACCAGUGGCGAAGGCGGCUGUCUGGUCUGUAACUGACGCUGAGGCUCGAAAGCAUGGGUAGCAAACAGGAUUAGAUACCCUGGUAGUCCAUGCCGUAAACGAUGAGUGCUAGGUGUUGGAGGGUUUCCGCCCUUCAGUGCCGCAGCUAACGCAUUAAGCACUCCGCCUGGGGAGUACGACCGCAAGGUUGAAACUCAAAGGAAUUGACGGGGGCCCGCACAAGCGGUGGAGCAUGUGGUUUAAUUCGAAGCAACGCGAAGAACCUUACCAGGUCUUGACAUCCUUUGACCACUCUAGAGAUAGAGCUUUCCCUUCGGGGACAAAGUGACAGGUGGUGCAUGGUUGUCGUCAGCUCGUGUCGUGGGAUGUUGGGUUAAGUCCCGCAACGAGCGCAACCCUUAUUACUAGUUGCCAGCAUUUAGUUGGGCACUCUAGUGAGACUGCCGGUGACAAACCGGAGGAAGGUGGGGACGACGUCAAAUCAUCAUGCCCCUUAUGACCUGGGCUACACACGUGCUACAAUGGAUGGUACAACGAGUUGCGAGACCGCGAGGUUUAGCUAAUCUCUUAAAACCAUUCUCAGUUCGGAUUGUAGGCUGCAACUCGCCUACAUGAAGCCGGAAUCGCUAGUAAUCGCGGAUCAGCAUGCCGCGGUGAAUACGUUCCCGGGCCUUGUACACACCGCCCGU
rnacentral:rRNA from 1 species